rnacentral:misc_RNA from 1 species
AAAGAUAAAUAUACCAGCGGCAAUGACAGACCUGGUCAGGACGGAUUUAGCCGAGUAUGCCCCUGCCUCCAAUCUUUUGUUCAACGAACAUAUACGGGACUUGAUUCAGUCUGGGAGAAAGAUUUACCAUUUUGCGUUUGGACAGUCGCCUUUUCCAGUCGUGGAAUCGGCCGUGCAGGCAUUGAAGGACCAUGCUGGGGAAAAUGCCUAUCUCCCCGUAGCAGGGCUGAAGCAGCUGCGACAAGCAAUAUGCGAUUUUCACCAGAAAUAUGAUGGAUUUGAUGACCUUGACCCUGAGGAGAUCGUGGUGGGACCCGGGAGCAAGGAGCUGAUCUACCUUGUUAUGCACGUCUUCAAUGGAGACGUUUUAGUGAUAUCUCCGUCUUGGACAACGUACAAACCACAGGCCCGCUUAGCUCACCACGAACCGUUCGUGAUAGAGACGGGUCUAGAGGACGCCUGGAAAAUCUCGCCAAAGAUAAUUGACGAUUUUGUGAACAAGAACCAACUGAAAAAGAACCGACUUCUGAUUCUAAAUAACCCCGACAAUCCAACAAUACGUUUAGGAAACAUAAUAUCAUUGUGCUGUCGGACGAAAUCUACUCCAGAAUUCGAUACGACCAAAAGCACGUGUCCCUAGCUAAGUUUUACCCAGAAGGAACCAUUAUAAGUACCGGGCUGUCUAAAUGGGCCAGUGCUGGGGGAUGGAGGCUGGGAUACCACAUGUACCCCAAGCAGUUAUCGGACCUAAGACGAGCCGUAAGGAGUGCUGCUAGCCACACCUACACCUCCGCCCCCUCACCUGUACAGUAUGCUGCCACGGAGAUGUUCCAGAAUUUAGACCUGUGUGACAGUUACAUCAAACACUGCUCAAGGAUUCUGGACGCUGUUGGAUCUUAUUGUUACUGGGAGUUGACCUCUGUGGGGGUCAAGGCCGUUAAGCCAACUGCUGGAUACUACAUAUUCCCUGACUUUGAGGUAAUCAAGGAGAACCUCAAGAGGCGAGGAAUCAAGACGUGUGAGGAGAUGUGCAAAGCGAUACUAGACGAGUGCGGAGUCGCCGUGAUGGCGGGUGGUCCAGCUUUUCUGCGACCAGUGGAUGAACUAACCACCAGGCUUUGUUAUGUUCCUUUUGAUGGUGGAAAUGCUUUGAGCUACAGCAGAAGUUUAGGAAUGGACAAAGAUUUGCCAGAAAAUUUUGUCAAGGACUAUUGUACACCUGUGUAUGACGGUAUCCAGGCACUUAAGAAAUGGGUAUUAGACCAGAAAUCGCACUAAAGAAAGAAGUGGACAGACUGCAGGCUUUGAUCCUCCUGAGACUGAAAGAUCAAGACAAUCAGCUGUGCUUUCCAAAGUCUAAAUUAUCUAGACGUUGACAUUGACUGAGGGAUUUUUUUUUCCGAACAAAUUUCAUAGACUAGUAAUAAACAUAAUCGCUGAUGGAUAUAUCAUUAAAUGUUAUUUUCUCUACAACAGAGCCAAGAAUAAAUCAGAAUAAAACGGU